rnacentral:tRNA from 1 species
UCCCUGGUGGCUCAGAGGGUAAAGCAUCUGCCUGCAAUGCGGGAGACCCAGGUUCAAUCCCUGGGUUGGGAA